AAACUUAAAGGAAUUGACGGGGACCCGCACAAGCAGCGGAGCGUGUGGUUUAAUUCGUUGCUACACGAAGAACCUUACCUGGGUUUGACAUAUAGGUUGUAGGGAACUGAAAGGACGACCCUUCGGGGAGCCUAUACAGGUGUUGCAUGGCUGUCGUCAGCUCGUGUCGUGAGAUGUUCGGUUAAGUCCGCUAACGAGCGCAACCCUCGUCGUAUGUUAUAUGUGUCAUACGAGACUGCCGGUAAAAAGCCGGAGGAAGGUGAGGAUGAUGUCAAGUCAGCAUGACCUUUAUAUCCAGGGCUACACACACGCUACAAUGGUCUGUACAAUGGGUAGCCAAGCCGCGAGGCGGAGCCAAUCCUGAAAGCAGGCCUCAGUUCAGAUUGCAGUCUGCAACUCGACUGCAUGAAGCCGGAGUUGCUAGUAACCGCAGGUCAGCAAUACUGCGGUGAAUACGUUCCCGGGUCUU
rnacentral:rRNA from 1 species